GCGGGUAUGGUGGAAUUGGCAGACACGUUGGAUUUAGGUUCCAAUGGGCAACCGUGCAGGUUCAAGUCCUGUUACCCGUACCA
rnacentral:tRNA from 1 species